CCGGAGGGUCUGUCGCUCAUCUUAUCCAUAAAAGAUGAGAGGAAAGUCCGGGCAACACAGAGCACCAUAUUUUCUAACGGAAAGCUAUCGGUAACGGUAGGGUCAAUGUGACAGAAAACAACCGCCUCCUCACCGAGGCAAGGGUGAAAAGGUGAGGUAAGAGCUCACCGGGCGCCACAGCGAUAUGGCGUGCCGCACAACCUAUGGGUUGCAAGGUCAAGUAUACCGGCAUUCAAGGGCUGCUCGUCCAUUGCCGGGGGGUAGACUGCUCACCGCUCUCCAUGUGAGAGCCAGAUAAAUGACAGACGGAGCGCCGCAUCUCGCCUCAGGGCGAAAGUACGCGCUUCACAUAACCCGGCUUAUACGCCGACC
rnacentral:RNase_P_RNA from 1 species